AAAACCCUAAGCUGCCUAACUCUCUCUCCCUUGUCGUCGUUUCACCAACACACCCUCUCUCGUCAGUGUUUCGGCCUGUCAGUCGCCAGCCCACCACCAUUUUGAUUGUGCCGAUUGACAUGACAGACUCGCAGCUUCCAUCUUGUCGACAUCGUGGCUUCCAUCUCUUCGCCAUUGCAGUUUCCAUCUUGUCGGCGUUGCAGCUUCCAUCUUGUUGGGGUUGUGGCUUCCAUCUCAUUGGCGUUGCAGUUUCCAUCUCAUCUGCAUAGCUUCCAUCUUGUUGGCGUCGUCCCAUCUAACUCAUCGGUUUUGCAACUCCUUCACUUGAUGGUAAGUAGUAUCUUGACUCUUCACGGUUUCAGUGUGUAUAAUUUCUUAAAGCUAAUUAAAGAAAAAAUCUGUUGGUUUUGUGUAAAUUGGUGAUUGAAUAAUCAAAGUGAUAAAUUGUUGUUAAUGACUUAAUUUUUUUGACAUUGUUAAAUUAAUGUUAUUGUUAUUGGUACUCUUUUCAUUUUUCUGUUCUUAUUUGAUUGCCUUCGUAUUUUAACUUUAUAUGGGAAAAUUUGAUGUUUAGUGGGUGCCGUGAGUAAACUAGUGCAAUGUAUAUAUAUUUUUCUGUUAUUUUAGCUUUAGAAAUUGUUAUUUCAGCUUUAGAAAUUGAUUGCAAUGAUUUAGAAAAUAAGUUAAUUUUAUGUUAUAUUUGUAUGAUGAAAAAUAUAUAAUAUUUUUAUUAUUUUUAUUAAAUUUAUUAUUUAAAAAUCAUUUUUGUAACAAUUAUUAAUAUUUGUUGUAUAAUUACAAAUUUUUUCUAUAACAACUAUAGUUUAAAAAAUUACAGUACCUCAAUAUCCUCGAAAAAGUGAAAGUUUAUUUUUUUAAUCUUUUUUUUUACCUUUUUUCCAUUUUCAUUUUAGCAUUUAUUUUUCCCACAUUGUUUUAAUCCUUUAUAUAUUUUUGUUUUAAGAAAAAUACAUACAUAAAUACAUAUACAUAUAUUUGGAAGAGCGGAUAAAAGUAUAUAUGUAAUUUAUAUGUGACCUCACACUUUGAGUAUCUCACCACAAUAACUGUUUUAUCUGUAUGUGUAUAUAUAUAUAUUUUUCCUUAAAUGGUUGAGAAUCCAUAAUAAUGGGCGCCAAGCUAGUGGGAUUUAGUCGAGUGGGUUUCAAACAAUUUUAACUAGUCAACCAAAUUCAAUAACCCCAUUUUUUUGAAUCAACCUCAUUAAACUAAAAACUUUUUAUUUCUAGUAAAAACUUAAUUAAUUUAAUUAUAAAAAUAACGCUCUAUUCUGUAAAUUAAAUGAAAAACUGAUCAAAUCUCUGUUAAAGAUGCAGUUUAAUUACACUUUUUAUCUACAAAUUGAAAAAUUGCUACUUUUUUUUUUCGAAAUAUGGAAUUUCUAAAAUUGAAUUAAUUAAGUUACCGAGAUUCAAGGCAACUGGAGAUUGGCCAUCCGCAUAGCAAGCAUCAAAAACAACUUUCAACUUCUAAUAAUUAGAAACUCCAGCAACCUCCCGUCAUUCAAAUACAUGCCAGAUCCUCAAUAUCCUGCCACAAUGAUUAAAUAACUUUUCCCUUCCUCGCCCUUGUGAAUCAUUCAUUACUUACAAGCUAGGCACACAAAUUUGUACACCGAACCAAGAAUUGCUGUUUCAUUUUUUUUGCACAAUUAAAUGGGCCUAAUAAGAACUUUAACAUCAUGAAUCAAUCAAUAAAACUGAUCGUUCUGUUCCUUUUGUGGAUAUAAGCUAAUACAAGUUAGCCCAACCACGUUACAAGCUGUGUGCUGUGUUUCUUUGAUUCUGUUACUGUGAUUCUAUUGCUUUUGUUUCGUCAUCAUUUAAAUCUAAGCUUUGAUUCUUGUGCACUGAUCUAAGAUUACUUGUGAAGCAUCACGAUUGAUCAAGAUUGAAGGUCUUGGGCAGUGUCUUAAGUUUUUGGUUUCAUAAGUCACUACAGUUUUAUCUCUUCUUUGUCUAAUUGUAGAAAUUUAAGAGAUUUAAGCUAACUUAUAAAUGGAAUAAUUCCCUCCAUCUAGUAGACUACACUUUUUAGUUAGAUACUGAGAAAUCUUAAGCCCAACUCCCAAUAAGUGAUAUCAGAGUCAAACCCUAAUAGUCGGAAUAUGGUGGUGGACUAGCUCAAGUAUGUAGGAUGAAAGGAUUGGGGUCUGGUUAUAGUUUGGUCCAAUGGAAGAUUGUUAAAGGGGGAAUUGUAGAAAUCUAAGAGAUUUAAGCUACAGUUAUAAGUAGAAUAAUGCCUUCCAUCCAGUAAGCUAGUCUUUUUAGUUGGACACUUAAAAAUGUUAAGUCCAGCCCCAAUUAAUGGUAUCAGAGCCAAUGGAAUAGCUCACGUAUGGAGGACGAAAGGACUGAGUUUGGUGGUAGUUUAGUCCAAGAGAAGAUUGUUGAGUUGUGUCCCAAUAUUGGUUUGGAUACCUAGAAUGUAAAAGUGGAGUAGCUCAAGUGUGUCAGACGAAAAAACUGGGUUCCAGUGGUUGUUUCGUCCAAGGAGAUUAUUGAGUUGUAUCCUACAUUAACUAGUAAAAGACAGUUAAUUAGAUUUAUAAGUAUGAUAGGUGCCUAGUUAGUAAAAGGAAGUUACUUAGAUUUAUAAGUAAAAUAGGUGCCAUCACCUAAUAGACAAUUAUUUUGGGAUGGACACCUAAAAAUCCUAAGCUUAACCCCCAAUAUUGAGGUUUUUUCUAGGGAAAAAUAAAUCAUCUUAAGAAGAACCAUAGGAAGUCUUUGAAUCAAACAAAGAACCGAUGUUCCAGCUACUUCUUUAUCUAGUCGGAGAGGAUGUUUUGGGUGGGGGGGAGGUCUUAAGAAGAACCAUAGAUGGCCUUUGAAUGAAACAAAAAGCCAAUGUUCUGGGUAGUACUUUAUCCAGUCGGAGAGAUGUAAAUGUGACUGCAAUAUUCCAUUCUGUUGAGAUCGACCGUACCAAAAAUAAAAAAAAUCUUAAAACAUGUAUCAGAGGCGUAAAGUGAAAAUAGGCAUCCAUCUAAGCUAGCCUUUGUCAACGACACAAUUAUAGAUAUAUGUAUCGUACUCGAAUUUUCUUAAAAUUUGUAUUUUAAUUUGAUAAUUAUAGCUUAAACAGUAUCAAAGUUUUUAAUAAAUACUUAUUGCAAUAAUUUAAAAAAUAAGUUAAUUUUAUGUUAUAUUUGUAUGAUGAAAAAUAUAUAACAUCUUUUUAUUUUUAUCAAACUUAUUAUUUAAAAAUUAUUUUUAUAACAAUUAUUAAUAUUUAUUUUAUAAUUACAAUUUUUUUCUAUAACAGCUAUAGUUUAAAAAAUUACAGUACCUAAUAUCCUCCAAAAAGUGAGUUUAUUUUUAUCUAUUUUUUAAUGCCGACUUCAAUUUAUACUUUAAGUUUGAUAUAUUGCAUUACAUUAUGAACUUUGAUUGUACAUUUAAACUUUUGACUUUGGUUGUAUUGUAUGUGGUAUAUAUAUAUUAAAAAUUUUAAUUUAAUCUAAUCUUUUUUAUUAAAAAAAAUUAAAAUUACUAUGUAAGGACUUAUCAUUCAAUUAAAAUAUAGCAUUAACAAAUGAUGUUGUACUCCCGGAACAGAAGCACCUAAGACUUCCUAAUCAAACCCUAUCUAAUAAUAACAAGUAGAACAUAAAAUAUGAAAUUAUCAGUACUUAAAACGUCACUUCAGACCAACUAGCAAUUUGGUCAUUUACUAUCAGAUCAAUAAGGAUGGCAAUGAGACGAGUUCGGGGUGGAAAUUAUGGUCUCUGCCCCAUUCCUGAAUUAGAAGUAAUUCCUGAACCGACCUCGUACCAGCAAAUUUAUAUUUGGGAAUAAUUUGGGGAUAUUCUUGAUAACUCCUGAAUGGGACGAGGAUUAAAAUGGAGACCCAAUCCUCAAUUUUUUAAUAUUUUAUUUUUUUAAAAUACUAAUUAUACUAUAGUUAAAAUUUUAAAAACAUAAUAUUUUUACCGUUACUUGCAUCUUUUAUUGAUGUUCUUAUGAACCAAACAAAAAGUUUGUUAAUUUACUGAAGGAUCAUGUGAGCUGGAUAUAGGGCGGUAAUGAGUUGGUUUGUAUUGAGUUUUAGAUCAACCCAUAUUAAAUAAAAAAAUGUCUAGAUUCAAUCCAAACAAAUUUAAAUAUUUUCUUAGCUUAAUCCAAGUUAACUUAUUUAAGUUUGGUUUGAAUUUUACUAUCAAAAUAUCUUUUGUUUUGAUAAAUUAAUUUAUAUCAAAAUUGUAAUAAUUAUUAAUUAUUAUACAUAUUAAUUAUUAAAUAAAUAUUAAAAUAUGAAACAUAUAUUGUGGAUAAAGUUAUUAUAAAAAAUAAAUUUUACAAUAACUUCAUCCGCAAAUCAAAUAAUACUAGAAAAAUAAAAUAAAGUUGAAUAAAGAAAAUUUUUAUUCUUAAUAAAUGAGAACGUAAACUCUAACAAUAAACUUAUACAAAUAUGACAUUAACAAGUUAAUUGAAAAAAGAAAAUAAAAAUUAUUAACCCAUUAUAACACAAAACUCUAACAAAUUCCAUAUAACUAAAAACAAGACAAGACAACCCAUCAUAAUCAUUCCUAUCAACAAUACUUUCAUUAAGAGCUUCCAGGUCAAUUGAGUGUGCUCCUUCACUAACAAAUAAAAUAACAAAAAAAAAAUAUAAUGUUGAAUAGUUACAAAGAAAAGAGUAAAUUUGGAAAAGAACAUGCUUCAUUCACCAAAAUUAUUAGAAUAACAUCAAUUCAAAGUUAUUACCUUUGUUGUUACACUUAAUCUAGACUCUACAUUAAAUAAAAACAAAUUAGUAAAAAAGACUAGUGAUAAACAAAUAUGUAAAUACUUUUUCUUAUUAUGAUGAACAUUUACCUAGCAUCUUGCUUUGAGUAAGUUUCUAAGGAAUAAGUAUCAUGACAACUUUGAGUUCUCAUCCAUCUAAAAUUAAUUGAAAAAAAGAAUCAUAUAACUUUGGGCCAAUAACUUUAAUGUAAUAAUUAAAGAUUUUGAUAAAUAAAACAACUAUAAUUGAAAUUUUUUGAUUUUGCAUUUCGUGCAAGAGAAAUUAUAUAUGGUUUUAGAUGCCCGAAAUUUCAAGUUUGGAGCGAGAAUUUGACAUUACUAAUUGAUAAAUUAGCUACUAAGUUCUUGAGGAUGAAGUAAUCUAAUAGUGGUAUUGUAUAAUCUAAGAGCAAAAAUAAAACGAACAUUUAAAUCGAAUAAUGACAUUUAAAUUAUAUCAAGCACAAGCGAAAAAAAGAGAAAAAAAUUAAUUUGGUAGGAUCACAUAAAUAAUUUCAUCACUUGUUGCCUUCUCAGUUCUCACUUUCUAAUUAAUUAAUCUUAAAAAAAAUCAUAUAGCUCAACAAAUCUCAAACCAGAAUCAAAACCUUUCAAAAGGAACAAAUAUUGCGAUUGAAUCACCAAGCAAACAACUUCAAUUAACUAAAUCCACUAAUUCCAAGCAUACCCAUUAGACAAAUCAUUUAAAACAAUUAAAAAAAAAAUGCUAUUCAUUCAAAUUAAGCUUUACCCAUUAAACACAAAUGCAAGAGCACCUCAUAAAUUAAACCAUCAGUCUCUUCUAAAGCUAAAGUCUUGGAGGACCACUGCACAGUAACCAAAGAAAAAAAAAGUUGAAGCUUUUGUAGCAGAAACAGAACCUCACCUUAGAUCAACAAAAAGGUUGUAAUCGAACUUGGGGGCUCUCAAGAUUCUAUAAUUUCAGUUGAGGACAAAAAACAAACAAACGCUGUUUGGGAAGUUCUGUGUCAUGGUUUUAGAUCUAAGUUAGUUUCCAUCGACGAUUGGCGCUGUCGAGAGAGAAGAGAGGCUACUGAUGUCGACAAUCGGCACAGCCGCUGCGGCAAUGUCGAGUUUUUGGUUUGGAUUUUGAGUGAAUUUUUAAAGGGGUUAACCAAACCCAAACCAUACUUCUACUAUUUGCUCAACGCCAACCAUUUAAUUUAGCUUGGGCAUCCAGUUGGAUGUAUGGCCUUAUCAUGUAAAUUCGACAAGUGAUGUGAUUUCUCGAACGACGUUUUGGAGCAACUAUGAAAAAGGAAUAAGGAUUUUCGUACUCCAAAUAGAACUAUCUAAUCUCCCCUUGCAAGCUUUGCAGUUAUUUGAAUUAACAAGGUGUUUGGAACGAAAGAAAGUGAAAGAAAAUUUAGAAAGAAAAUUUGACUAAGAAGAUUCUGGAACAAUCACAAAUCUAAUUGAUGAAAACUGAUGAAAUCAUUCUUUGUAAACGAGCUAAUCACUAUUUACAAAAACAGAGCUCAAAACUGCAAUGUUAACAACUAAUUAACCUUCCAAUCGUAUUAAGCCGGCUGGACUAUUAGCUACAACUUAUUCAGUGCAAAUAACAACCCACUCUAGCUCAGCAACUUUUUACACAUCAUCAGCCAGCUCAGCUUACACUCUUAACAAUAGUUGGUUUACAUUCCAAGAUAGAGAUGCAAGAACUAAUCUCUAGUUAAUUUGAAAAGGAUGAUAAGUUAAAGCUUUGGUAAGGAUAUCGGCUGAGUUAUGAGAACUGGGAACAUAGGUGACUUGAAAACUAUUAUUAGCAACCUUUUCUGACAAGAAAUGAACAUCAAGUUCUAUGUGUUUAGUUUGAGAAUGGAAUUUAGGAUUACUUGCUAAGGCAGCUGCACUCUGGUUAUUACACCAAAUGACAGGAGUAGAGGCGAGGGAAAUGUCAAUUUCAAUCAACAAUUACUUGAGCCACAAAAUUGUUAACAUGUGGAUGUUCAUUAUAUUGAUUUUGAUGAUAACAAACUUUAAAUAUUUUUUAUUAAAAUGAUGGAGUUUUUCAUUAAACGAUUUCUCAAAAGCCGUAUAAUCUUUCUAAAUGUGUUCAUAAAAUCAUUCCUUGUGAAAUUUCAUUAAAACUGUGAUGCUGGAAGUAAACAGUGAACCGUUAACUUUGAAACGAUUAAUCGAUAAUUUCCAAAGAGGAAGAAAUCCUUAAGUUUCAACCAUUUAGUAAAAACGGAUAAGGCAAAUGAGAUUUGUAGAUUACUGGAAUUAAAUGGCGAACCAUUAACUUCAAACGACUAACCGAUAAUUUCCAGAACAUCAUUCCAUGCUAACCUUCAACCGUUUAGCAAGAACAUAUAGCAGGAAUUUGUUUUGCAAGUCUCUGGAAAUUAAUGGCAAAUUGAUAGUGACAAAUUGUCAACCGUUUAUUUGAAAUUUCAGCUUAACGGACACUUAGACCAGUCAAAACGGUUAAUCGAUAACGGUUAACGGCAAUCCGAUUUUGAGCAAAAAGUCAACAAUAACUAUUUUUCAACUCCAACCAUAAAUAAGCUCAAUCAAAUGCAAACAAGAGUUGAUCACAAUAUUAUCAAUGAGCUUAUAAUCGAGAAUACAAUAUUCAUUGAGCUUCAAAUUCAUUUUUGUUCAUUUAUUCACACAUUAAGCAUUAAUUUGUAAUCUUAUAUAUUGUGUGAGAUCAAAACAAAUUUGUAAUAUUUGUUUUGAGUGAUUGUAAGUGUUGGAAUACACUUGGGUUAAGAGAUUGAUGAUAAUCUCUGGAUGUAAAGGUUGAUUGACACCUAAGAAGUCAAUUGUAAGUGUUCUUGAAGUCUUGAAGGCUUGACUAAUGGAAUCCUUAAGCUUGGUGUGCUCGGAGGCGUGGUCGUAGGCAAGGUUGGCCGAACCACAUAAAAAUUUCUAUGUUUGAAUCUCUCUUCCCUUAUCUUUUUAUAUUUGGUUGAUUUAUUCAUUAUUGUUUUAAAUUCAUUUAAGAUUUGCAUUAAAUUUUGUUUAAGAAUUGCUUUUUUUAUAGAAACCCAAUUCACCCCCCUUUUGAGUUUCUUAGAUAUUAUUUCAAAAACUUCAGAGGCAGCCAUUGUUAAAGCUCUAUAUUUUGAUUCAGUACUUGGCCUAGACACCACUCCUUGUUUCUUUGAACACCAAGAGAUUAGAUUUGGACCAAAGUAAACACAGUAUCCAACAAUUGAUUUUAUGUCAUCUUUGUCAGCUGCCCAAUCUGCAUCACUGAAACAAUCUAUGUGCAAGAGACCUUGAUUAGAGUAUUGUAACCCCAUAUGCAUUAUACCCUUAAGAUAUCUAAGAAUCCUUUUACAUGAUUGCCAGUGAUUGAUGGUUGGAGCAGCCAAAAAUUGGCUAAGUUUAUUUACUGGAAAUGCUUUAAGGUCUGGUUAAGGUAGUAUACUGAAGAGCUUCAAUUGUGCUUCUAUACAAAGUUGCAUCAGCAAAUGGUUCAUUGUUAGUUUUGGUAAGAGGAGCAUUUGCAGCCAUUGGAGUUGAGCAAGGAGUUCAAUCUUGCAUUUUGACUUUGUUGAAUAGAUUAGCUAUAUACUUUGACUGAGAGAGAUGCAAACUUGUUUUAGUUUUUGUGACUUAAAUACCAAGAAAAUAAUGUAGUUCUCCAAGGUCUUUCAGAGCAAAUGUAGUCUGUAGAUUGUCAAUAACUUGCUGAAUCUGAGUAGAAUCUGAACCCAUAAUAUCAUCAACAUAGACUAAUACCAGCAAAAGAUGACUUUGAACUCUCUGAAAAAAUAAAGAAGUAUCUGACUUGGAAUUCUUGAAACCCCAUUGUUUAAUCAACAUUGUUUUUAGUCUUUUAAACCAAGCUCUAGGAGCUUGUUUAAGACCAUACAAUGCCUUUUGAAGUUUACAGAUGUGUGUAGGUUUUGACUGAUACACAAAGCCUUCUGGUUGUUGCAUAUACACUUCUUUAGUAAGGUAACCAUUGAGAAAGGCAUUGUUAAUGUCAACUUGUCUCAGUGACCAGUGAUUUAGAACAGCCAAACUAAGAAUAAAUUUAACUGUAGAAACCUUCACCACUAGACUAAAGGUCUCAUUGUAAUCAAUGCCUUGAGUUUGAUGAAAACCCUUUACUACAAGUCUGGUUUUAUACCUUGAAAUGCUACCAUCGACAUUGUAUUUAAUUCUAAAUACCCACUUGUUGCCUACUACUUUGACAAGGUAUGUAGGUUGAACAAGUGUCCAAGUUUGAUUAUCAACUAAGGCUUGAUAUUAUUCUCUCAUUGCCUGAAGCCACUUUGGAUCAUUUAGAGCAGUUGAAAAUGUAAAUGGUUCUGUUGGUUUAGGAUCACAUUCAACUAGAUAGGCCUUUUAGGUUUGAAUAUCCCUAUUUUGGAUCGGGUGAUCAUAGGAUGUCCAACAAUAGGUUGAGGAGGUGGAGAUAGUUGAUGAAUAAGUGAUUACUGAUUUAUGGGACUAGGAGUAUGGGAUGGGAAGUGAUUUUCAGAGGAGGAUAAAUUUGAAUUUGAAGAAGCUGGAUUGGAGGGCAACUCAAUUGCUGAAGGUGAAGAUUGAGAGGAAGAUCUAUCAAGCUUUGCAGCAAUCUGUGAUAAAGUAAAUGAGAUAAAAAGGAUUAACAGAAGGUCUAUCAAGCUACUGCCUCUUUAGCUCGCCAUUCUGUAGCUAGGGUAUUAGUGGAGUAUGAUGUCACUCAACCUCUGUUGCCACAAAUACGAAUCAGUGUGGGUGUAACACCAAAAAUUUCAUAAUAUUAAAUCAUGGAAAUUGGGCGUUCAUUAGGAAUCAUGCGUGGCCUUAUAACCCUUAUUAGAAAGGGAUAUUAAAUUAUAAAUAGGGGUUAUUUAUGAGAUAAUUUUUGGAAAAGGGUUAUUUUUCCAAAUUCAAUAAGGUUUCUUAAGACUCCCUAUAAAUUCAUAUUUUUUCCUUCCAUAACUCUAAACCCACAACAUUUCUUCUUCUUCUCUAUUGCUCAUUACGCUCUUACCCAAACUCUAGGAUUCAAACCUUUAUUUAAGAGAGAAUCAAAGCGAUUGGUAAGUUUAUUCUCUUUAUUCUCCACAAGUUUUUCAAUCACUCUAUCUAGGGUUUCAAUAUGCAUGAUUUUAGAUUGUUAUAGAUCAUAAUGCAUGAUUUAGGAUGUGUUAGGCUUUGUUUAGGGCUCCGAUUUAUUAUGAGUCUAGUUAAUUAAUCCUUGAUGCAUUAAGCGCCCAGGAUAAUUCUGGACAGCGUGAGUACCUCGAAUUUAAACCUGUAUUUUCUGAAUGAUUUUUCUUAAGAAAUUUAUAUUUCUGGAAAAAAUUCUGAGAAUCAGACUUGUACGAGUAUGAAUUAGAAAAACCAGAUUCUUAGAAUAAGUUAUUAAUUAUCAUAUCUUGUAUGUGUUUAAGGUGUUGGAGGUGAUUGAGGCUCUUAGAGGCUUAGAGGUGUGUUAAUUCAAAUUCUUUUGUCGAGGUAAGUAACUUCAUUCUUAAUGUACUGGAUAUAUAUAUAUGAUUAUUUUGAUAUUAUUAUAAGUAUAAAUGUUUUUAUACUAUUUAAAGGAUUAAUUGAUUUUGAUAACAAAAUUAGUUUAUGUAAAUGUUUUCGAACCUAAAUUCUUUCUAACAAAAUAUUUUAUAAAUGCUUUUUAAGUAUGUAAGUUAUUUCGUUACAUAACUACCUUUUAUGAUAUUGUCUUUAAAAUAUUAUGCAAGCCUAAAUUGUUGUUAUGAAUAUUUAUAAAAUUGAUACGAAUGUUUUGCGCCCACUUAUGAUUUUAAUUAUUUAUGAUUGUAUGGG
rnacentral:lncRNA from 1 species